AGGAAGUAGUUAAUUAUAACAUUUGAUUUGCAUUCAAAAAGUAUUGAUUUAUUCAAUCUUUCUUA
rnacentral:tRNA from 1 species